rnacentral:rRNA from 1 species
CCUACGGGAGGCAGCAGUGAGGAAUAUUGGUCAAUGGGCUUACGCCUGAACCAGCCAAGUCGCGUGAGGGAAGACUGCCCUAUGGGUUGUAAACCUCUUUUGUCAGGGAGCAACGCCGGCUACGUGUAGCCGGACUGAGAGUACCUGAAGAAAAAGCAUCGGCUAACUCCGUGCCAGCAGCCGCGGUAAUACGGGGCAUGCGAGCGUUAUCCGGAUUGAUUGGGUUUUAAGGGUGCGUAGCGGGAAUGCCAAGGCAGCGGUGAAAUCCCGGGGCUCAACCUCGCUCCGCCGUUGAAACUGGCGUUCUUGAGUGGGCGAGAAGUAUGCGGAAUGCGUGGUGUAGCGGUGAAAUGCAUAGAUAUCACGCAGAACUCCGAUUGCGAAGGCAGCAUACCGGCGCCCAACUGACGCUGAAGCACGAAAGCGUGGGUAUCGAACAGGAUUAGAUACCCUAGUAGUC